AAUAACAUGGAGUGGGUGCAGUCCAACAAAAGAAGGGGUUCAGAAUGGAAACAAAGAUGGAGAGAAAAGAACAUGGCCUCUGCUUCUGCGCCUCCAUUCCACUUGCUCAUGAUAUUUGGCAUUGUGGUUAGUUUGUUGUGUCUUUCACAGUACAACCACUUCAAGGCUCAGCUCUAUAACACAGCUACCAACUUUCAGUUUUUCAUCUUCUUCUUACCCUUCUUGCUUAUGUUCUUCAUUGUUUCAUCAUAUUCUACUAGUGGAAGGUUCAGCUUUCACACGUUUGGAGCAUGA